UGAAUAAAGUGAGCUGGCAAGGUGAUCCAUGCGUCCCAAGCAACUACACAUGGGAUGGUCUAAAUUGUAGUUAUGGAAAACUUCCAAGGAUUAUUUCACUGAACCUGAGCUCUAGCAAUUUGAGGGGCAACAUCCAUUCUUCACUAUCAAAUCUAUCGGAAUUGAAGGCCUUAGAUCUGUCCAACAAUGAACUUACGGGAGCCAUACUGGAAACUUUGGCAAAUUUGCCGAAGUUGAGAAUU